UAGGGAAUCUUCGGCAAUGGACGAAAGUCUGACCGAGCAACGCCGCGUGAGUGGAGAAGGUUUUCGGAUCGUAAAACUCUGUUGGUAGAGAAGAACGUUGGUGAGAGUGGAAAGCUCAUCAAGUGACGGUAACUACCCAGAAAGGGACGGCUAACUACGUGCCAGCAGCCGCGGUAAUACGUAGGUCCCGAGCGUUGUCCGGAUUUAUUGGGCGUAAAGCGAGCGCAGGUGGUUUAUUAAGUCUGGUGUAAAAGGCAGUGGCUCAACCAUUGUAUGCAUUGGAAACUGGUAGACUUGAGUGCAGGAGAGGAGAGUGGAAUUCCAUGUGUAGCGGUGAAAUGCGUAGAUAUAUGGAGGAACACCGGUGGCGAAAGCGGCUCUCUGGCCUGUAACUGACACUGAGGCUCGAAAGCGUGGGGAGCAAACAGGAUUAGAUACCCUGGUAGUCCACGCCGUAACGAUGAGUGCUAAGAUGUAGGG
rnacentral:rRNA from 1 species